GGAAACGAGAGCAGCUGCAAGCAAAAAAGGCGGGAAACGACGGCGGCGUUCUGCGCUCCUAUUGGCUGACGGGCAGUCGGUGCACCUAUAUAAGGUGCGCGGGCGGCCACUGAGGGACAAACGUUCACCUGAGGCCAUGACUGGAAUUGAGGUGCUUGGAGGGAAAGGCAGCAAGCGGGACGUGGGCUGAGGAAGAAGUGGAAGAUGAUAGUGAGAAGGAAAGGGCUGGAUCAGUGGUGGAGAAAGUAGGGGAAGAAGCUCUUCAGAAAGGAAGGAGCUGCUGCAGAAGAAAGAAGGAGCGGCGCUUGGAAGUGCGAGACGAGGGAGCAAGGAGAGGAAGCAGGAGACUGCGCGUGGGGAAAGGGAGAGGCGUUCUGGGCAAAAGCGUUUCCCCGUCCCUGGGGAGUAGUCGUACUGCGAUGGAGCGUGGCCGGCACCGUGGGUGACCUGGCCGGCUGUGUGCUGGGUGACCUCCCUGUAAGCAGGGCUCGGGUCUUUGCUGUAGUUGGCCUUUUGCCUUGUUGCUCCUUGGCUGCCUGGGGAGCGUGGCGCCCUGUAAGCAGGGUGAGAGCCGCCUCUCCGCACCCGAGUGGGAAACGGAGCUCGCUGGACCCCACGGCCACCCUGUAAGCAGGGCAGUGCCGUUUUCCCCGCCCCUCUUCCUCUGGCCGCUCAGCGCUGUUGCCUGCUGGUGGCCUGUCAGCGUGGCGGCCCUGUACUCGGGGUGCGUGUCGUGUCACUUGGCCUUUGGCCUUACCUGGGAACUCAGCCCCUUGGCACGUUGAGGUCCGUGGCCUCCGUGCGGCCCGGGGACAAACACAGGCUCUUGUCUGUUGCUCGUGGGUGUGGGUUUAUUCCCAGGGAUUGGCUGCGCUGAGUUGUCCUUCCCUUCUGGAAAGCCACGUCUGUGUGUGUGCGUUCCCCUUCCUCUCCUGGUGUUUGUGGAGUGACUGAGCGAUUGAGCUUUCCCUUUAGGUCUUCCUAAAAAUGGCUGCAGCUUAGCCUGGACUUCCCAGGGGGGAAUGGAGGACUUGGUGCAUGCCGCAAGGAGGAGGGGGUGUUCCCUCUUAGUCCCACGAGGGCAGCGAGCGUUCUGUCUUGCCCCUUGUUUGUUUCUUCUUAGACCAGACCGGAGCCUCAUGGUGGUUCCGUGGCCGGGGAUUGCUCUGUAGCCAGGGCUUGGGCCCGUCCCUGCGUGGCUGCCUGUCUUGCUGGCGGCGUGACCGCCCUGUACUCGGGGUGUGUGUUGCAAGCUGUGCCGCCCCUCUUGUCCCCGGAGCAGCCCGCCCCGCCUGUAAUCAGGUCUGGGGUGUCUGCCGUGCUGCAGCCGGCUGCUUUAGCCAUCCAGUUGGUGGGAAUGACCCCUCCCUGGCCUGAUAGAGGGUGCAGGUUGAGGUGCUGCUUUGUGGUUGGGGUGGCCUCCCUGCUGUGCGGGUUGAGGUGGCUCCUGAAGAUGCACUGUUGCGCCACAGCCGGGCGGGCCGGCCCGUACCUCGGGCGUUGGCGGGAGCCUCGUGCUCCGUGGGGCUUUGUGGGAAUGGUGAGGUGUGGGGUACCGUCCUGUAGGCAGGGCUGCGUGUGCCCCUUCUGUGAGUGCUUGGUGAGGUGUGUUCUGAGGGCCCCCCUGUACUCAGGCGGGUGUCUGUGGCCUGGGCCUUUUAGAGGUGCCGGCGGAGAGAUUUGGGUCUGGGCUUGUGCCCUUGCUGGGAUCCCAGCCUUUGGCUGUGCUGCCCCACUGCCUGGCUGCUGAGAGUCGUUCCUGCUGCUGGGGGGGAAACCGAGCUCUGUGGCCUGCAGGGUGUCACGGACCCGCCUGUAAUCAGGGUCUGGGUUUGGGAGUCUUUGUGCUCCGCUGGCAGCCCGUGCGGGGUGACCGCCCCGUUAGCGGGGUGCGGGUUCACGGUGCCCCAGACUGGGAGAGGAGGAGCCUCCCUUGGCCUGUACGACCUGGGCUGCCCUGUAAGUCGGGGUCCGGCAGCGCCCUGAGUUCUCAGGCCCUUUGUGAUGGUAGCGGUGCCUGGAGCCCCCUGUAAGCAGGGGAGGUGACUCUUUGGCUGCUGCUUAGCAUGCCCAGCUCAGUUUGCCCAGUCUGCCCACCCCUGCACCCCGCACAGCACCGGCUGGAACGCCGCGGUGCAUCAGUGUGGAGCUGCUGCAGAAGAAAGAAGGAGCGGCGCUUGGAAGUGCGAGACGAGGGAGCAAGGAGAGGAAGCAGGAGACUGCGCGUGGGGAAAGGGAGAGGCGUUCUGGGCAAAAGCAUUUCCCUGUCCCUGGGGCAUAGUCGUACUGCGAUGGAGCGUGGCCGGCACCGUGGGUGACCUGGCCGGUUGUGUGCUGGGUGACCUCCCUGUAAGCAGGGCUCGGGUCUUUGCUGUAGUUGGCCUUUUGCCUUGUUGCUCCUUGGCUGCCUGGGGAGCGUGGCGCCCUGUAAGCAGGGUGAGAGCCGCCUCUCCGCACCCGAGUGGGAAACGGAGCUCGCUGGACCCCACGGCCACCCUGUAAGCAGGGCAGUGCCGUUUUCCCCGCCCCUCUUCCUCUGGCCGCUCAGCGCUGUUGCCUGCUGGUGGCCUGUCAGCGUGGCGGCCCUGUACUCGGGGUGCGUGUCGCGUCACUUGGCCUUUGGCCUUACCUGGGAACUCAGCCCCUUGGCACGUUGAGGUCCGUGGCCUCCGUGCGGCCCGGGGACAAACACAGGCUCUUGUCUGUUGCUCGUGGGUGUGGGUUUAUUCCCAGGGAUUGGCUGCGCUGAGUUGUCCUUCCCUUCUGGAAAGCCACGUCUGUGUGUGUGCGUUCCCCUUCCUCUCCUGGUGUUUGUGGAGUGACUGAGCGAUUGAGCUUUCCCUUUAGGUCUUCCUAAAAAUGGCUGCAGCUUAGCCUGGACUUCCCAGGGGGGAAUGGAGGACUUGGUGCAUGCCGCAAGGAGGAGGGAGUGUUCCCUCUUAGUCCCACGAGGGCAGCGAGCGUUCUGUCUUGCCCCUUGUUUGUUUCUUCUUAGACCAGACCGGAGCCUCAUGGUGGUUCCGUGGCCGAGGAUUGCUCUGUAGCCAGGGCUUGGGCCC